CAGUCGUACGCUUCUUUUUCCCCGGAGCUUGCUCCACCGGAAAAAGAAGAGUGGCGAACGGGUGAGUAACACGUGGGUAACCUGCCCAUCAGAAGGGGAUAACACUUGGAAACAGGUGCUAAUACCGUAUAACAAUCGAAACCGCAUGGUUUUGAUUUGAAAGGCGCUUUCGGGUGUCGCUGAUGGAUGGACCCGCGGUGCAUUAGCUAGUUGGUGAGGUAACGGCUCACCAAGGCCACGAUGCAUAGCCGACCUGAGAGGGUGAUCGGCCACAUUGGGACUGAGACACGGCCCAAACUCCUACGGGAGGCAGCAGUAGGGAAUCUUCGGCAAUGGACGAAAGUCUGACCGAGCAACGCCGCGUGAGUGAAGAAGGUUUUCGGAUCGUAAAACUCUGUUGUUAGAGAAGAACAAGGAUGAGAGUAACUGUUCAUCCCUUGACGGUAUCUAACCAGAAAGCCACGGCUAACUACGUGCCAGCAGCCGCGGUAAUACGUAGGUGGCAAGCGUUGUCCGGAUUUAUUGGGCGUAAAGCGAGCGCAGGCGGUUUCUUAAGUCUGAUGUGAAAGCCCCCGGCUCAACCGGGGAGGGUCAUUGGAAACUGGGAGACUUGAGUGCAGAAGAGGAGAGUGGAAUUCCAUGUGUAGCGGUGAAAUGCGUAGAUAUAUGGAGGAACACCAGUGGCGAAGGCGGCUCUCUGGUCUGUAACUGACGCUGAGGCUCGAAAGCGUGGGGAGCAAACAGGAUUAGAUACCCUGGUAGUCCACGCCGUAAACGAUGAGUGCUAAGUGUUGGAGGGUUUCCGCCCUUCAGUGCUGCAGCUAACGCAUUAAGCACUCCGCCUGGGGAGUACGACCGCAAGGUUGAAACUCAAAGGAAUUGACGGGGGCCCGCACAAGCGGUGGAGCAUGUGGUUUAAUUCGAAGCAACGCGAAGAACCUUACCAGGUCUUGACAUCCUUUGACCACUCUAGAGAUAGAGCUUCCCCUUCGGGGGCAAAGUGACAGGUGGUGCAUGGUUGUCGUCAGCUCGUGUCGUGAGAUGUUGGGUUAAGUCCCGCAACGAGCGCAACCCUUAUUGUUAGUUGCCAUCAUUCAGUUGGGCACUCUAGCAAGACUGCCGGUGACAAACCGGAGGAAGGUGGGGAUGACGUCAAAUCAUCAUGCCCCUUAUGACCUGGGCUACACACGUGCUACAAUGGGAAGUACAACGAGUCGCGAAGUCGCGAGGCUAAGCUAAUCUCUUAAAGCUUCUCUCAGUUCGGAUUGUAGGCUGCAACUCGCCUACAUGAAGCCGGAAUCGCUAGUAAUCGCGGAUCAGCACGCCGCGGUGAAUACGUUCCCGGGCCUUGUACACACCGCCCGUCACACCACGAGAGUUUUAACACCCGAAGUCGGUGAG
rnacentral:rRNA from 1 species